rnacentral:lncRNA from 1 species
UCAACACCCCCCCUCAAGUUGGAGGGGAAAACCACCUGCAACUUGAGCAGCAAAGGAUGAAGCACAGUGCCAGGCAAAGGCUUGGUCAGGAGGUCAGCCAGUUGACGAGAAGUAGGAACAUGAAACAGCAAAGGCUUGGUUAGAAGGUCAGCAAGCUGACGAGUGGUAGGAACAUGAAACAGUUGAAUGAGGCCAUUCUGGAGCUGAUCGCGAACAAAGUGACAAUCCACUUCAAUGUGUUUAGUCCGUUCAUGAAAAACAGGAUUCUUAGCUAUGUGAAUAGCAACCUGACUGUCACAAAGCACAGAAAAAGGGAAGACAAAUAGGAACCCCAAGAUCAAGAAAUAAACGAGACAACCAAGACAAUUCUGCAACAACCUUACUGAGGGCCCUAUAUUCAGCCUCAGCAGAAGACAAAGAAACCACUGGUUGCUUUUUAGAUUUCCAACUAAUCAGGC